GGAAACAGGGUGCUAAUACCGGAUAACAACAUGAAUCGCGUGAUUCAAGUUUGAAAGGCGGCGUAAGCUGUCACUUUAGGAUGAGCCCGCGGCGCAUUAGCUAGUUGGUGGGGUAAAGGCCUACCAAGGCGAUGAUGCGUAGCCGAGUUGAGAGGCUGAUCGGCCACAUUGGGAGUGAGACACGGCCCAAACUCCUACGGGAGGCUGCAGUAGGGAAUCUUCCACAAUGGGCGAAAGCCUGAUGGAGCAACGCCGCGUGUGUGAAGAAGGCUUUAGGGUCGUAAAGCACUGUUGUGGGGAAGAAAUGCUAGAAUAGGGAAUGAUUCUAGUUCGACGGUACCAUACCAGAAAGGGACGGCUAAC
rnacentral:rRNA from 1 species